CAGGAAACUUCCCGGAGGGAUGGGCUCAGGCCGGGCUUGUGCUGCGCCGGGCUCCGCAGGGCUCCGGCCACACCGUGAGGUUAUUUGGGAAGAGAAUAAUAAUUAGCUGAACAAAACAGCACAAGAUGACUUAUGAUUCCUGCUCGUCAUGGGAACCUGUCUGGAUUGUCCCUGCAGAAUGCUACAGCUUCCUUUCCUUCAUCGUGUUCUCAGCUUGUGGAGUCAUAAACCUGAGUGGAACUUUGGGUG